rnacentral:sRNA from 1 species
CAGACAACCCCAAAGACUGAAGUCCUCUCUUUAAUCCACAGAACAGGUGCAGCAUAGGCAGUGGCAGUGUCAGCUUUCCCCUCAUAGACCUGCCAAUGCGCCCCUGGAGGGACAUCCUUUAGAAGAAAGAAGGUAGAUUAGCUUCCAUGGCCCAUUCUAGCUCUGCUCUCU